CCUUAUUCAAACUCAAGAUAGUUCAAGACAAUCUACUACCUCUUUUACCAAAAGAAAAGCAGAAGAUACAAGCCAUUUUGAUCAAAAGUAGAUUUGAAAACUUGUUUGAGAAAGAACCAAUGUCUGAACGAUGAAGUGUUGAACGUGGUGGACUGUAACUUUACUCGAACCCAAGAUAGUCCUAAACAAUCAGAUAUCCUUUGUACCAAAAUAACAAACCAUUUUGGGGAAAAAUGCAAAAGACUCUUUACUGAAAACGCUAUUCCAGAGGAGCUCACUCAUAUGGGAGGAGAAGCAAAGAUGAAAAUUCGGAAAAAGACUGGAAGAUGAUGUUGAAGAAAAUUCUGAUGAUCUAUCUUUGGUGCAGGAACACAUUGCUUAAAA